rnacentral:rRNA from 1 species
CAGUAGCCACGGUAAUACGAAGGGUGCAAGCGUUACUCGGAAUUACUGGGCGUAAAGCGUGUGUAGGCGGUUGUUUAAGUCUGUCGUGAAAGCCCUGGGCUCAACCUGGGAAUUGCGAUGGAUACUGGGCGACUAGAGUGCGGUAGAGGAUAGUGGAAUUUCCGGUGUAGCAGUGAAAUGCGUAGAGAUCGGAAGGAACAUCUGUGGCGAAGGCGACUAUCUGGGCCAACACUGACACUGAGACACGAAAGCGUAGGGAGCAAACAGGAUUAGAUACCCCGGUAGUCCCUGUCUCUUAUAC